rnacentral:rRNA from 1 species
UACGUCGGGUGCGAGCGUUGUCCGGAAUUAUUGGGCGUAAAGAGCUUGUAGGCGGUCUGUCGCGUCUGCUGUGAAAAUCCGGGGCUCAACCCCGGACUUGCAGUGGGUACGGGCAGACUAGAGUGUGGUAGGGGAGACUGGAAUUCCUGGUGUAGCGGUGAAAUGCGCAGAUAUCAGGAGGAACACCGAUGGCGAAGGCAGGUCUCUGGGCCACUACUGACGCUGAGAAGCGAAAGCAUGGGGAGCGAACAGG